GCCCAUGUAGCUCAGUGGUAGAGCACUUCCUUGGUAAGGAAGAGGUCAUCGGUUCAAUCCCGAUCAUGGGCUCCA
rnacentral:tRNA from 1 species